rnacentral:rRNA from 1 species
GUGUCAGCAGCCGCGGUAAUACGUAGGGUGCAAGCGUUAUCCGGAUUUAUUGGGCGUAAAGAGCUCGUAGGCGGUUCGUCGCGUCUGGUGUGAAAGUCCAUCGCUUAACGGUGGAUCGGCGCCGGGUACGGGCGGACUGGAGUGCGGUAGGGGAGACUGGAAUUCCCGGUGUAACGGUGGAAUGUGUAGAUAUCGGGAAGAACACCGAUGGCGAAGGCAGGUCUCUGGGCCGUCACUGACGCUGAGGAGCGAAAGCGUGGGGAGCGAACAGGAUUAGAUACCCUGGUAGUCCACGCCGUAAACGGUGGAUGCUGGAUGUGGGGCCCGUUCCACGGGUUCCGUGUCGGAGCUAACGCGUUAAGCAUCCCGCCUGGGGAGUACGGCCGCAAGGCUAAAACUCAAAUAAAUUGACGG